CAGUCAGGCCAUCAGUGGAUCCACGGCAAGAACGGACACUCAAACAGAAAGAUGCAUUUCAACUGUCAUUACCUUAUCAGCCUGCUGCUGAUGCUGCUGUGCGGUUCGCUGGUGAGUGCUUAUCCCCAGGGUGGUCCCUGCGGACCGNNNNNCCAGUGGCCCGCCGCCAUCUGGACCCCCGCCAUCGGGACGCCCGCCAGGCGGACCGGGCGGACGCUGUGGACCCCCGCCCUCGACAACCGCUUCAUCGGGAUGAGGAGCGUUCCGACCUUACGCCCAGUCCCAGUCCCAGUCCACACCCGGCACGACACGUUCCAUGCGAAACUUCCUAUUGCUAAGUGUAUCCUUUUUGUGUAUUUUGUAUUUUUUUGCUCAAUCUAGAAUAUAUGUUUAUGUGUAAUCCUGCUGAAAAGAUGAGGCAUCACUUGCACUUUGGAUUCAGGUUGAAUCCAGGGUGGAUCCAGGCUGGAUUCAGGCUGGAUCCAGGGUGGGGUCAUAUGUAU
rnacentral:sRNA from 1 species